AGUGAACGCUGGCGGUAGGCCUAACACAUGCAAGUCGAACGGCAGCACAGGAGAGCUUGCUCUCUGGGUGGCGAGUGGCGGACGGGUGAGGAAUACAUCGGAAUCUACUUUUCGUGGGGGAUAACGUAGGGAAACUUACGCUAAUACCGCAUACGACCUACGGGUGAAAGCAGGGGAUCUUCGGACCUUGCGUGAUUGAAUGAGCCGAUGUCGGAUUAGCGAGUUGGCGGGGUAAAGGCCCACCAAGGCGACGAUCCGUAGCUGGUCUGAGAGGAUGAUCAGCCACACUGGAACUGAGACACGGUCCAGACUCCUACGGGAGGCAGCAGUGGGGAAUAUUGGACAAUGGGCGCAAGUCUGAUCCAGCCAUACCGCGUGGGUGAAGAAGGCCUUCGGGUUGUAAAGCCCUUUUGUUGGGAAAGAAAUCCAGCUGGUUAAUACCCGGUUGGGAUGACGGUACCCAAAGAAUAAGCACCGGCUAACUUCGUGCCAGCAGCCGCGGUAA
rnacentral:rRNA from 1 species